GACGAACGCUGGCGGCGUGCCUAAUACAUGCAAGUCGAACGCACUCUCGUUUAGAUUGAAGGAGCUUGCUCCUGAUUGAUAAACAUUUGAGUGAGUGGCGGACGGGUGGGUAACACGUGGGUAACCUGCCCUAAAGUGGGGAUAACAUUUGGAAACAGAUGCUAAUACCGCAUAAAACCUAACACCGCAUGGUGUAGGGUUGAAAGAUGGUUUCGGCUAUCACUUUAGGAUGGACCCGCGGUGCAUUAGUUAGUUGGUGAGGUAAAGGCUCACCAAGACCGUGAUGCAUAGCCGACCUGAGAGGGUAAUCGGCCACACUGGGACUGAGACACGGCCCAGACUCCUACGGGAGGCAGCAGUAGGGAAUCUUCCACAAUGGACGAAAGUCUGAUGGAGCAAACGCCGCGUGAGUGAAGAAGGUUUUCGGAUCGUAAAACUCUGUUGUUGGAGAAGAAUGUAUCUGAUAGUAACUGAUCAGGUAGUGACGGUAUCCAACCAGAAAGCCAACGG
rnacentral:rRNA from 1 species